rnacentral:tRNA from 1 species
GGGGUUGUGGCUCAGUGGUAGAGUGAUCACCUAGUGUGUGCAAGCCCUAGGUUCAAUCCUUAGCACCACA